UGAGGAAUAUUGGUCAAUGGGCGGGAGCCUGAACCAGCCAAGCCGCGUGAGGGAGGAAGGCCCUAUGGGUCGUAAACCUCUUUUGUCAGGGAACAAAAGCGAGUAUGUAUACUAGUCUGAGUGUACCUGAAGAAAAAGCAUCGGCUAACUCCGUGCCAGCAGCCGCGGUAAUACGGAGGAUGCGAGCGUUAUCCGGAUUUAUUGGGUUUAAAGGGUGCGUAGGCGGCGGUGCAAGUCAGCGGUAAAAGCCCGGGGCUCAACCCCGGCGAGCCGUUGAAACUGCAGUGCUAGAGAAGGCGAGAGGUACGCGGAAUGCGCAGUGUAGCGGUGAAAUGCUUAGAUAUUGCGCAGAACUCCGAUUGCGAAGGCAGCGUACUGGCGCCUGACUGACGCUGAGGCACGAAAAGCGUGGGUAUCGAACAGGAUUAGAUACC
rnacentral:rRNA from 1 species